rnacentral:rRNA from 1 species
UACGAAGGGGCUAGCGUUGCUCGGAAUCACUGGGCGUAAAGCGCACGUAGGCGGGUCCUUAAGUCAGGGGUGAAAUCCCGGAGCUCAACUCCGGAACUGCCUUUGAUACUGGGGAUCUUGAGUCCGGAAGAGGUGGAGUGGAACUCCGAGUGUAGAGGUGAAAUUCGUAGAUAUUCGGAGGAACACCAGUGGCGAAGGCGGCUCACUGGUCCGGUACUGACGCUGAGGUGCGAAAGCGUGGGGAGCAACAGG